CCUCCAACUGAGAUUGAAGACGUAAAUGUGACGUGAGCAGCCUGUCUGAAAGUUGGAAGUCUUCUGGUAGCUGUGCCAAGAGAAAUCUCAAUCAUUCCCAAUCUUACAGAGAUGGAGAGCGUGAGUAGGAGCUGUCCAUGAGCGUAGGAGCUGGAGCAAAACGAAAUAUGUGGUUU